rnacentral:rRNA from 1 species
AGGGAAUUUUCCGCAAUGGGCGAAAGCCUGACGGAGCAACGCCGCGUGAGUGAGGACGGCCUUCGGGUUGUAAAACUCUGUUCUUGAGGAAGAAUUCCUUCCAGGCGAACAGCCUGGAAGGUUGACGGUACUCAAGGAGAAAGCCCCGGCUAACUACGUGCCAGCAGCCGCGGUAAUACGUAGGGGGCGAGCGUUAUCCGGAAUUAUUGGGCGUAAAGCGCGCGCAGGCGGCUGAUUAAGGCAGGGGUGAAAGGCUGCGGCUCAACCGCAGAGCGGCACCUGAAACUGGUCAGCUGGAGUGCAGGAGAGGGGAGCGGAAUUCCCGGUGUAGCGGUGGAAUGCGUAGAGAUCGGGAGGAACACCAGUGGCGAAGGCGGCUCUCUGGCCUGUAACUGACGCUGAGGCGCGAAAGCGUGGGGAGCAAAC